rnacentral:rRNA from 1 species
GACGAACGCUGGCGGCGUGCCUAAUACAUGCAAGUAGGACGCAGUUGCGAACGGGUGAGUAACGCGUAGGUAACUACCUAUUAGAGGGGGAUAACCAGUGGAAACGAUAGCUAAUACCGCAUACUAGUAGAUGGACCUGCGUUGUAUUAGCUAGUAGGUAGGGUAAUGGCCUACCUAGGCAACGAUACAUAGCCGACCUUGGAGGGUGAACGGGCCAACUGGGACUGGGACACGGCCCAGAAUCCUACGGGGGGCAGCCGUAGGGAAUCUUCGGCAAAGGGGGGAAACCUGACCGAGCAACGCCGCGUUAGUGAAGAAGGUUUUCGGAUCGGUAAGCUCUGUUGUUAAGGAAGCGGUACUUAACCAGAAAGGGACGGCUAACUACGUGCCAGCAGCCGCGGUAAUUC